rnacentral:rRNA from 1 species
AAACAGGGGCACCGCAUGGUGAUAUUUGUUAAAGAAAUUCGCUGAUAGAUGGGCAUGCGUUCCAUUAGGUAGUUGGUGAGGUAACGGCUCACCAAGCCGACGAUGGAUAGGGGAACUGAGAGGUUGGUCCCCCACACUGGUACUGAGACACGGACCAGACUCCUACGGGAGGCAGCAGUGAGGAAUAUUGGUCAAUGGGCGGGAGCCUGAACCAGCCAAGUCGCGUGAAGGAAGAAGGAUCUAUGGUUCGUAAACUUCUUUUGCAGGGGAAUAAAGUGCAGGACGUGUCCUGUUUUGUAUGUACCCUGAGAAUAAGGAUCGGCUAACUCCGUGCCAGCAGCCGCGGUAAUACGGAGGAUCCGAGCGUUAUCCGGAUUUAUUGGGUUGAAAGGGUGCGUAGGUGGUUUGAUAAGUCAGCGGUGAAAGUUUGCAGCUUAACUGUAAAAAUGCCGUUGAAACUGUCGGACUUGAGUGUAAAUGAGGUUGGCGGAAUGCGUGGUGUAGCGGUGAAAUGCAUAGAUAUCACGCAGAACUCCGAUUGCGAAGGCAGCUUACUAAGCUACAACUGACACUGAAGCACGAAAGCGUGGGGAUCAAACAGGAUUAGAUACCCUGGUAGUCCACGCAGUAAACGAUGAUUACUAGCUGUUUGCGAUACACAGUAAGCGGCACAGCGAAAGCGUUAAGUAAUCCACCCUGGGGAGUACGCCGGCAACGGUGAAACUCAAAGGAAUU